GGCCAGGUAGCUCAGUCGGUACGAGCGUCCGCCUGAAAAGCGGAAGGUCGGCGGUUCGACCCCGCCCCUGGCCA
rnacentral:tRNA from 2 species